UGCAGUCGAGCGGCAGCACGGGGGCAACCCUGGUGGCGAGCGGCGGACGGGUGAGGAAUACAUCGGAAUCUGCCUUGUUGUGGGGAAUAACGUANGGAAACUUACGCUAAUACCGCAUAAGACCGAAAGGUGAAAGUGGGGGAUCGCAAGACCUCACGCGACAAGAUGAGCCGAUGUCGGAUUAGCUAGUUGGUGAGGUAAUGGCUCACCAAGGCGACGAUCCGUAGCUGGUCUGAGAGGAUGAUCAGCCACACUGGAACUGAGACACGGUCCAGACUCCUACGGGAGGCAGCAGUGGGGAAUAUUGGACAAUGGGCGCAAGCCUGAUCCAGCCAUGCCGCGUGGGUGAAGAAGGCCUUCGGGUUGUAAAGCCCUUUUGUUGGGAAAGAAAUCCUGUCGGUUAAUAUCUGGCGGGGAUGACGGUACCCRAAGAAUAAGCACCGGCUAACUUCGUGCCAGCAGCCGCGGUAAUACGAAGGGUGCAAGCGUUACUCGGAAUUACUGGGCGUAAAGCGUGCGUAGGCGGUUC
rnacentral:rRNA from 1 species